GCAGAAUGGCCGCCCAGCCGAGGAGCUGGCCGGGGUACAGCUGACCUCGCAGGGGACCACACUGCGCAUCGACCACGUGGAGCUGGACCACGCGGGCCUCUUCGCCUGCCAGGCCACCAAUGAAGCGGGCACUGCAGGGGCUGAAGUGGAGUUGUCUGUGCACGAGCUCCCAUCGGUGGUCAUAGUUGGGGGUGAGAACAUCACAGCCCCUUUCCUGCAGCCUGUGACCCUCCAAUGUGCAGGGACUGGGGUUCCUACCCCAAGCCUCCGCUGGUGGAAGGAUGGUGUGGCCCUGGCAGCCUCGGGGGGGAACCUGCAGAUCGAGAAGGUGGACCUGAGGGACGAAGGCAUCUACACUUGUGCUGCCACUAACCUGGCUGGGGAGAGCAGGAGAGACGUGGCGCUCAAGGUGUUGGUGCCCCCCAGUAUCGAGCCGGGCCUGGUCAAAAAGGCAGUGCUGGAAAAUGCCUCCGUAAACUUGGAGUGUCUGGCUUCAGGCGUACCCCCUCCUGGUA